GCUCUGAGUUUCAUUUAAAAGAAGGAGUUCAGUUUCAGGGCAUUUCUGCUGACCUCUAAUGCUUCCUAGAGCUUGAUUUUUUUAAUAUUUUUUUUUUUGUCAAAUAGCUGUGAUUUGUUGACAUGAAGAGAUCCAGCAGGAUAUACUUAUCUUGGAUGUGAUACCUCAUCACAGAAACAAAACCAAGUACACAGUCUGCUUCAUAUUUCAGCUGAAAGUGGACAUCUGAAGUAGCCACAGCUGGUUGCAGCCAUGCCAAUGGAUGUAUGGACAAGAACAUUACAGGACUUCUUGGGGAGACUGGUUUGCAGGUGAUCAAAGAAACAAACUACAAAAUGCUCAGGGAAACACUGGUCUGUAAAAGUAAAUCAGUGUGAGACUUUGUGUCUUCAGUGGGAGAGCAAUUUGGACCACAAACAUUUCCAUUAAAGAAUUCAUCUUAUCCUAUGAAGAACAGAUAAGAGAGAAACAGGUGCAGGCAUCUGGACACUGGAAAGAACAAUCUCAGCAGGAUUCUCGGCAGGAAAUUAUGACAUUCACCUCAUUGCAGAAACCUGCAGACAUCCUGAUGUACCACUGUUUGGCUCAGCAUCAGCAGCAGCUGGAUCUAGGGGUACAUGAUCAUCCCUGUGGCAGUCAAAACCUCACUAAGCGCAGCCUCAGAACAUGGCCUUGUGCCACAGGUCUGGGCAUUGCUGCUGCUGCUUGCAGCAGGAACAGGGGAAAGGAGGAGGGAGGGCUGUCCCCCUGCAACCCUCCAGCUCCUUUGUGCCAGCUGCAGACAGCUGUUGAGCUCUAGCUGCCAAAAUAUGGUACUUUGAAUUCUUUGGGUAAAUCUGCUUCUUGAACAGCUGCAAUUCGUCUUGUCUGAAGCAAUUUCAACAAGACAGGCCGUGCUGGCUCCUUCUCCUAGCAGCUUAAAUUUCUUGCAAGUUGGGAAAUGAGGGCAAAAGUUGUGUUUUGGAAGAUACCACUAUGAAAGGGAGUUUCACUGCAAGUUAUAACACUUUUCCUUCUAAUAAUCUUUAUUUGAAUUAGAACUGUAUGUAUUUCACAGAAAUAACCUGAAAAUUAGCAUUACAGGCAGUCUGUCUCUGUUGCUGUUGUUUAUAUUUUAAUACCUAAGUGUCAAGAUAUUUUUCAAAAAUGUAUCUGAUUACUUUAUCUGGAAAAUCAGUAAAAUCCUGAAAAAAGGUUAGUGGCGUAUGUUUCAGGAAAUGACCUAGGAAAGUCUUCAUCUAAGACAGACAUGCAUCUACAUGGGUCCCUCGCAUGUCUCCAAAGUCCUUUGAACAUCAAGUAACCUCUUUUUCCUAGAGUUUUGUUUGGCCUUGGUAUCCUUUGGAUUCACAACAGGUUUUUCUUAUUUAAGCUUGAAAACAUUAGAAAAAAGAGUAACGUAUCUGAUAUAGCUGUAUUCUUUAAUCAGCUUUUUCUUUAUGAGCAGCCCAAAACCACAUGUCUGCUCUUAUUAAAUGACAGGUAGAUUGAAGAAUGACAAGUUGACAAGUUGACAGGAGAAUGACAAACAUGAUAAAAGAUUUAGACAGUCAGAGCUGUCAGUCUGAAGGAAGUUGUACUGAGGAAGGCUCUUCUUGGAAGAAAGAUAGGAAAAUUGAGGGGGAAUAGGCUUUAAUCACAGAAAGUAAUUACAUAGAAAAUGAAGCCCAGUUUGUUUGUUAGAUAAUAAAGGUAAAUGAAUAAACUUCACUAAUUGAUUCAAGGAAAGAUUGAGUUAAUAUUUUGUAAGUCAUAAAGCAUAUUUAAAGCAAGGUGCAAAACUUUCUGAGAGAAAUAUGGCAUAUCAUUAAGAGAAACAAAAAGAAUUAUUGGAAUGAGAUAGGAGUAAUCAAACUGACAAACUGCAAAAGUAAAAAUUGAAAAAGCUUUGAAAACUCCUGUCCAUCCAAAUUCUUAUUGUAUUAAACCACACCACUGCAAAUUUAGACUAAUCUUUCAAGAAGGUAUUCGGGUAAAGAGCAGUGAAGGUCAUGGAACAGAACCUGUGUGCUGGUAGCUUUCAGGGUUUAUGUCUAUACAACAUCCACAUAAAGCAGUCUGAACAAUAGGUCCCUCCAAGAAAACCAAAAGGAGCAGUAAAAGUGGAUACAAUAUCUUGUAGCAAUUAUAUAUUUUAUUUAGUGGAAAGGCAUCUGAUGGCCAAGUAUGAAAGAAAAACCUUGAUUGCCAGAUUCUUGAUCAAAGACUGAUAGCUGCCUCACAGCUGCCCAGAUGCUCUCCCACAGUCUAAUCCAAAACGCUCUGAAAGUAAUGAAACUUUUCAUCCAUUUGAACAAGCUUUUGAUCAAGCCUCGAGUCUCAAGAGAAUAAGUUUAUACACAAUACUAAAAACCAAGGAAAGCAUUUAAGUGUUCAUUACAUACCAAAAGGAUGGGCAAAUACUUCUGCACUUUACAUUUCCAAAUUGAAAACUGAUAGAAAAACCCACUGGUGAUCUUGGAUAUUUAGUGGAAAGUAAAAGCUGCCUCUGACUACCUCUUUUUUGUUUGAGUAACCAGUAAAGGCCAUGGGAAAACUCAAAGAUUUACCAUACAUUCACAGCAGCCAUCUGUUGUCAAGAGCUUCAUGCAGUGAGAAAUGAGGUUUUCAUAAAACUGAAGUUUAUAGGUAAAAAAAGCUGAGUUGCUUGUCACUUCAGGUCCAACUUUACUGCACAGCACAUUUUCAGUGACAGCUUGUAACGUAGAUCAGAUAAUAUGCUGAAUGUCGUGGAAAUGAUUCAAAAUGUCAAAACAAAGGAUAAUUAUUAAAACAAAUCGGAGUGAAGAAGAAAAUGUAAUAGAGCACAAAAUAAGCACACCUAUCAGAAGUUAUUUUGGUCUGCAGUUUUUUUGAGAGCAACAUCAAAAUGGUAGCACCUAGAAUGUGCUUUUAUAGCACUGAUUUCUGAUUUUUAACAUUGCAAUAUCUGUGAGCAUACUUACACUUUAAAAUGGUUUGGAAGACACAGUUUCAGAUAUUUUCUCACCUAUGUUUUAGGCUCCUUUUGAAUUGCAUGUAUUUUUCUGUAUAGGACUGGCGUUCAUGACUUGGUGGGCAUGUUGCCAUGGCUUUCAAUUUAGUUGACAACCCAUAGAGUUAGCCUAGAAGUAGAGAUGCUAAAUGCUGUGAUCAAUGCUAGACUAAGUGAGGCUUAGGGGCCAACUAGUCAAGAAUUUCUCUUAGCGGAUAACACAAGGAAAUGUUUGUCUCAGGGUUACUUAAAAAUGAAAAUAUGCCCCCGAUAUAAUAUACCUGAUGUAAAGGAAAUGUCAUCUUGUCUAAUAAUACUGUGAGAAUUGCUGAGGCAAGGUAGAAGAAUUUCAGGUCAGCAAACAUUUCCUUGCUGUUUUCAUGGCUGUUCAAUAGAGCUGGAUAAAUGAUUUGCAACUUUUAUUCUCCUUGUCUGCUACUGUAAUAUCCAUGACAAGAUCCUGAUUUCCUUCAAAUAUAUCCAUAGCUAUCUCCACACAUGCUACUGUGCAAAGUUACAUACCAGUGAACACCCACCUGUCAAUGGUCACAAAGGACAGAGAUCACCACGGUGCACAUCAUUGUUGGUGUUAUCCUUGUUGGGUACUACUCAGGCUUCAGUGUAGAGGUAUCAAAAACACCAGCGUUAGAAAAUUUAUGUUGAAAAGAUCUCAACAUUUGGAGUGCUCUAAAUAGCCACAGGCUUUGUUCUGUGGCAAAGUUUUGACCAAGAUUAUUGCAUCAAACCCAUAUCAGCAUGUUCAGCCUAAUAAUUAUCAGGUUGGGUGUUGAAGCCCAUGUUCCUGUGACAAUAAGGUUUACAUAACAUCUUAUGGUGUUCCCUUAACCCACUACAGUCCUUGCCACAUCUUGGUCCUCUUUUAUAGUAGAAUCAAACAACGCAGAAUAUUACAUUCCACCUGAAUCUUUGUUUGCGGGCUAUAUUGUCCUUGAUGCUCUGGUCCAGUCUUCCUUGUUUAUGACUCUGACAAGACUGCACAGUUGGGUCAAUGGCUUGGCAAUGAGACCAAUGCUCCAGGGAGACUGGCAGCCUCUGUGAGAGACACUUUGGUAUGGCUCCUCUGGCUGAGCACAUGGUAUUCCUGUCAGCCUCCUCUAAGCAAAGGCAAAUUAAACUUGUCCAGUCUAAGUUAGUGCAAAUGGUCUAUGAUUGUAGCCAUUUAAGAAAUCUGUUUAAUCAAGUGAAUAUGUAUAGUAAUGCAUAUGGUGUGCUUGCCUAGACAUAGGUCUGUGUUCACCAGCUCAGAAUGGCUAGCAUGGAAAAGUAGCGACCAGCAGAGCAUUCCUCAACACAGAGACUGGAGUAUUGGCAGGCUGGGAAAAUAUGAAAUAGGGCCAAGGAGUGACAUCUGCUGAGUUAAGAUAAUGUAUAUCAGUUGAUGUAAGGGUGCUGUUCUUCAUAUUAGUGAGAUCAUACUGAUUUACGGCUGUUCCGUCUGGCCUACAUCUGCAAUUCUUCUAUCUUUUAUGUAUUUCAGUGGAAGAAUGAACUGACCUCAUUCAGGUAGAUGAUCUGUUUCUCGUAUAUAUGCCAGGAGACAAAGAUAUCAAACAUUUAUUUAAGCUUGCAAAUAUUAUAAAAUAAAAGAAAAAGUAUGCUUGAGCAGUCUGCAGCAGAAUGGUAAUGUUCUCUGAAAGCCUUAUGUUCUCUGCUCCCCAGGAAAUAAAUAAUAUCUGCUACUCUAAUAUUGAUUUUUCAUUCUUCAUCAUACUCAGUCAAGCCUCUCCAAACUAGGCAUCAGCUAUUCUAACAAAGACUGAACCAAGGAAUGGGAAGAGGGUAAUAUGUAUACUCAGUGCAACCUAUUCCCUUGACUACCCCAAGUGAUCCAUUUUAGCAAUUCUCUUUGCCUCUAGUGACCUGUGACACUGGUGGUGGUGCAGACUCAAGCUAAACUCUUUAGAGCCAUGACAGCAAUUUAGUCUCAGCCUUUAUUACAACAGCAUCUUCUUCAGUUAUUACUUCACACAUUAUUUAGCUAAUGUCUUGGUCUAUUUUUAUAUACAACUUUCAACAAAUUAAAAUAAGAAGAAAAAACCCUAAUGUGAGACCAGAUACUGACUAUCAGGGCACCACUGUGUGCUGGUGGCACAGUUCCUGGGCCUCUUGCUGGUGCUUCCUUAUUGCAUGGUAGGCCCAUCUCACCAGUGAGCAUGUCCAUGUGUCGAAGGGAGGUGGGGGACCCUCUCCCUACCUUUCCCUUUGGCAUGCCCUGCGUGCCACAAAACUCUGGUAGAGCAGAACACCUGCAGGAAAACAUGAAAAUGCCUUUGUAGCUAACCCCUCUGGUGGGUAAGAGCACGAAAACGAUACUGUAGACACAGUAUAGUGGUGAGGGUUUUCUGCUUUUUCUUUUUACAGCUCAUUUAUAAAACUACUGAAGACAAUUACAUCCAUCCUGACACAGUGAAAAUCCCUUAAAUUAAAAAGUUAAUAGCUUGUUGGCUCAGGGGAUGUGACUUUCUGGCCCCCACUAGCAUCUGGCAAUCAUCGUUUUCCAAGCCAUUUCCGCUUUUGAGGUGAACAGGAGUUCUGCCAGUAGAUGAUGACCAGAGUAGAUCAAAGGCAUUUUUGGUGGAAUCAGACAACCGCUUACCCACCUUGACUUUGUCCACCUCACCUCUGACUCUAGUGUGAACUCUUCUCUAGUUAUCUCACAUAGAAAAAAAAAGAAAAGAAAAUCAAAAUAGGAGAAAGCCUCGUUUCCUCAGUAAGGAAAACAAUGUGGUUAACAGUAUACUUCUGGCUCCUAGAAAACCUUCAGAGACAGGACAGUCUGCAGGAAUGAGAAAAGGGGAACAAAAGUGUGAAAAUAUUUUAGAACAACAUUCUAUUGGGACCCACAUUUUAUAAUCUCUAAAUUAAUAUUUUGGUUGUUAUGGAAAUGUCAACUUUUUUUUUUUUUUCCUGUAAAGUGAUUAUCUGUAACUAAUAAAGUUAACUAUGUACAUAGAGUUAACAUUGGCUAUUAAAAAACCUUGAAUGGCAGCUACUAUAAAUUAAGAAGGGCAGAAACAGUUAACAGGCAAUAAACAAAGCUGCAUUACUGGAUUUUCAAUCCUAUUUUUUUCUGAGGACUCAACAAAAGCUGUGACUAUGCCACCACUGGAAACAAACAAAAAAAUUACCAGAUGGCAAUUUUUGCAAAAAUGGUGAGCUGAAUCCUCAGUGGUUAUAGGUUAGAAUAGUCCUAUGGAAAGCAGAGGAGACCUGGCAUCCAUUGCUACACAUUUGUGCCCGGGGUGAUGUUUAGGCUUAACUGAGUGACACAAAGGAUGCUCAUUCACUCCUAGCAGUUUCUCUCUAACUGGAAUUGCUUCAGAAACUAUUUCUCAUGCCUAAUAACCUCUUUUUUUCCAAAGAUAAAUUAUUCUGAGAAAAAGUUUCUAUCAUCCAAGUUUUAAUAAUGUAUAAAGUUAUUCAUAUCUGGUUUUACAUCUGCUUUGCCUACCCUCUUCACGCUGCCUUGUCUGGCACUAAUGCUGCUUUCUGUGUCUGAGCAGUGUGUGGGUAGUGCUGUGACUCCCUUUCCUCUGCCUGCGCUUCUCUGCCUCUUUCAUUUUCAAAUUGCCAUUUAUUUCAUCAUUGAUAAGCACUAGAAGCCAAAGGUAAUCCGAAAUGUGGACUCUCUUAAAUGUUUUGAAGUGGCUCAUUCUGAGUCGAGACACUGACGACAUUUUCCUUCAUCACUUUAUUUUAGAAUAUGUGGUGCUGAUGAUUUGAUUUUUGAGAUGAUAGUCUCCCUCUGAGAAUUAAAAGACUCUUGAGUUUUUGGCAUGUGAGCGCCUGAGAAAACAAGGAGGUAGAAGAUACAUGUAAUACUUGCAAAGAUCACUGGAAUGUCCUAUUGCCAAUGGGAUUUUACUCCAAUUUAAUAGUAAUUUCUCUGAAUCUUUAACCUUAUGGAAUACAUGUGCAUAGGGUAUGCCCUGUGUGUUUUCAUGUGUUCUUCCUAGGAUUUCAUUUUCUCAUGUAGAAGCUCAUGGAUGAAUGCUUACUGAUUAAAUAGGAAGAGCAUUCUAUUCUUUUAGAAGGAAUAAAAUAUUGGGAGUUUAGAGGCUUGUUAUUCUGCAACACACUUCUUGGGAAGCCAUUAAAUCUCUUUUUGCCUUGAGUUCAUUGCAUGCUUUAGCAAUAAUAAAAAUACAUAGAUUUUAUAUAUGAAACACGCAGGUGCUAAUUCUAUAAUAUUUUUCCCGUCCUGGAUUCUUAAGUUGUUUUCUGAAGAAUUUUGUUUUCCAUUAGUAGUAAGAUAAACUUUUGAAAACCACUAGCACAAAAGUUAAUUCUAUCUGUUUUGUGAACCUGCCAUCUUCCUUCGGGCCUUGCCUCACUUCUUCAUUGUUGAGACUGUGUUCAUUCUUUCCUGAAGAAUCUAAUUCGUCUCUCUUAUUUUCUGACUUCUUGUUGGAACAAUGUUCUGUUUCUCCCUUCUUUCAUUUCUUAUGCCUCAUUCUUCAAGCCUUAUGCCCCCUCUUUCUUUCCUUUUGACAUAUAUUUAUUUUUCUAUGCAUCUUUCACUAAUUCUCUCUCUCUCUUUUUUUUU